GAUGAACGCUGGCGGCGUGCCUAAUACAUGCAAGUCGAGCGAACAGACGAGGAGCUUGCUCCUCUGACGUUAGCGGCGGACGGGUGAGUAACACGUGGAUAACCUACCUAUAAGACUGGGAUAACUUCGGGAAACCGGAGCUAAUACCGGAUAAUAUAUUGAACCGCAUGGUUCAAUAGUGAAAGACGGUUUUGCUGUCACUUAUAGAUGGAUCCGCGCCGCAUUAGCUAGUUGGUAAGGUAACGGCUUACCAAGGCAACGAUGCGUAGCCGACCUGAGAGGGUGAUCGGCCACACUGGAACUGAGACACGGUCCAGACUCCUACGGGAGGCAGCAGUAGGGAAUCUUCCGCAAUGGGCGAAAGCUUGACGGAGCAACGCCGCGUGAGUGAUGAAGGUCUUCGGGUCGUAAAACUCUGUUAUUAGGGAAGAACAAAUGUGUAAGUAACUAUGCACGUCUUGACGGUACCUAAUCAGAAAGCCACGGCUAACUACGU
rnacentral:rRNA from 1 species